AGUGAACGCUGGCGGUAGGCCUAACACAUGCAAGUCGAACGGCAGCACAGUAAGAGCUUGCUCUUACGGGUGGCGAGUGGCGGACGGGUGAGGAAUAUAUCGGAAUCUACUUUUUCGUGGGGGAUAACGUAGGGAAACUUACGCUAAUACCGCAUACGACCUACGGGUGAAAGCAGGGGAUCUUCGGACCUUGCGCGAUUGAAUGAGCCGAUGUCGGAUUAGCUAGUUGGCGGGGUAAAGGCCCACCAAGGCGACGAUCCGUAGCUGGUCUGAGAGGAUGGUCAGCGACACUGGAAGUGAGACACGGUCCAGACUCCUACGGGAGGCAGCAGUGGGGAAUAUUGGACAAUGGGCGGAAGCCUGAUCCAGCCAGACCGCGUGGGUGAAGAAGGCCUUCGGGUUGGAAAGCCCUUUUGUUGGGAAAGAAAAGCAGCAGGUUAAUACCCCGCUGUUCUGACGGUACCCAAAGAAUAAGCACCGGCUAACUUCGUG
rnacentral:rRNA from 1 species